rnacentral:rRNA from 1 species
GAUGAACGCUGGCGGCGUGCCUAAUACAUGCAAGUCGAGCGCGAGAGUGAGGAGCUUGCUCCUCAUAAUCGAGCGGCGGACGGGUGAGUAACACGUAGGCAACCUACCCUUGAGAUUGGGAUAACUACCGGAAACGGUGGCUAAUACCGGAUACGACUUUUCCACACAAGUGGAAUGGUUAAAAGGCGGAUUUAUCUGCCGCUCAGUGCUGGGCCUUCGGUGCAUUAGCUAGUUGGGGAGGUAGUGGCUCACCAAGGCGACGAUGCAUAGCCGACCUGAGAGGGUGAUCGGCCACACUGGGACUGAGACACGGCCCAGACCCUACGGGAGGCAGCAGUAGGGAAUCUUCCGCAAUGGACGCAAGUCUGACGGAGCAACGCCGCGUGAGUGAUGAAGGGUUUCGGCUCGUAAAACUCUGUUGUUAAGGAAGAACACUUGAGGUAGUAACUGGCCUUGAGAUGGCGGUACUUAACCAGAAAGCCACGGCUAACUACGUGCCAGCCGCCGCCGUAA